GUUAGCUCUGUAAAGUUGGUCGUUGGGUUAGGGUUAGGGUUAGGGUUAGCUCUGUAAAGUUGGUCGUUGGGUUAGGGUUAGGGUUAGGGUUAGCUCUGUAAAGUUGGUCGUUGGGUUAGGGUUGGGGUUAGCUCUGUAAAGUUGGUCGUUGGGUUAGGGUUAGGGUUAGGGUUAGCUCUGUAAAGUUGGUCGUUGGGUUAGGGUUAGGGUUAGGGUUAGCUCUGUAAAGUUGGUCGUUGGGUUAGGGUUAGGGUUAGCUCUGUAAAGUUGGUCGUUGGGUUAGGGUUAGGGUUAGCUCUGUAAAGUUGGUCGUUGGGUUAGGGUUAGGGUUAGGGUUAGCUCUGUAAAGUUGGUCGUUGGGUUAGGGUUAGGGUUAGCUCUGUAAAGUUGGUCGUUGGGUUAGGGUUAGGGUUAGCUCUGUAAAGUUGGUCGUUGGGUUAGGGUUAGGGUUAGGGUUAGCUCUGUAAAGUUGGUCGUUGGGUUAGGGUUAGGGUUAGCUCUGUAAAGUUGGUCGUUGGGUUAGGGUUAGGGUUAGCUCUGUAAAGUUGGUCAUUGGGUUAGGGUUAGGGUUAGGGUUAGCUCUGUAAAGUUGGUCGUCG
rnacentral:lncRNA from 1 species